UACGAAGGGUGCAAGCGUUAAUCGGAAUUACUGGGCGUAAAGGGUGCGUAGGCGGUUCGUUAAGUCUGUCGUGAAAUCCCCGGGCUCAACCUGGGAAUGGCGAUGGAUACUGGCGAGCUAGAGUGUGUCAGAGGAAGGUGGAAUUCCCGGUGUAGCAGUGAAAUGCGUAGAGAUCGGGAGGAACACCAGUGGCGAAGGCGGCCUUCUGGACCAAUACUGACGCUCAUGCACGAAAGCGUGGGGAGCAAACAGG
rnacentral:rRNA from 1 species